rnacentral:lncRNA from 1 species
GCCUUCGGAUGAAGUCGGAGGAUAAAGAAGGCUCGAAAAAGAGAAGGAUGGGGCAUGAUCGGCAACAUCCGAUAUAGCAAAGCAAAGCUAAUUAUCAGUCGGACCGAGUUCGGUGCCAGCUGAGCUGGGCAAAGUCUGUAAUAAUCUAAAAUAUUCUAGAUAAACAUUGAAAUCAAAAAUCAAAGACCCACCUGAAGAUCUUCGACAUAGAAGGCCACCUGGCAUGAAGGUGGGUUAUUCACCUGACCAUCGGCCCCA